rnacentral:lncRNA from 1 species
AUCAAGAAGUACGAAACUCGAGGUUAGACAAAGGGAAGAAUAAAGUUGAAGACUAAGUUGGUGAAUUUGGCUAUAAUUGGUACCGAGGUAAGUUUACGGUAAAUAAAUGCAAUAUUUCAAUAUUUAUUAUCAAUGCUGUUAUUUUCCAGCAACUAUGAAUUUAUUUUAUGAAUUUAUUUGAUGAUGAUCUAAGCAUGAAAUGAUAGAGAAUUAAAAUUAAAAAGUCCCGUUGAUACAUAAGGAUGGUACUGGAUACGAAUGUCAUGACAUUUGGGUAAAGAGGUCCCAUGUAAGACCAUGUCUGGGAUAUGGCAUUGGCACCGAGAUGAGAGGUCCCAUGUAAGACCAUGUCUGGGACAUGGCAUUGGCACCGAGAUGAGAGGUCCCAUGUAAGACCAUGUCUGGGACAUGGCGUUGGCACCGAGAUGAGAGGUCCCCUAUAAGACCAUGUCUGGGACAUGGAAUGGGCACCAACAUGAGAACAUCCCAUGUAAGACCAUGUCUGGGACAUGGCUUUGGCAUGUUAUUAUCAGAAGAGACCCGAGUAUCCUUAUUAUUCCAAUGUAGCUCAACGGGCUUGUAAAUGAAUCAUGUUCAUGAAAGUUCAGUUUAAAGCAUAAAUGGCAAGCUCAGGUAAGUUGUGAGACUUAAGAACUUAUUAUACUAUCAAUUGAUGUUCAACGAUGCAGCAAGGAUUGAGUAAGUUAUGCACACAAGUAUUCUAAGUAAACAAGUAAGAGAACUAGUAUGAGAUUAACUAAAGAGUAAACUAGAGAUAUAGACAUUGAGUUUAAUUAUUUAAGUUAAAUAUUGUUAUUUAUUUGCUAGUAAACUUACUAAGCUUUAUGCUUACUUCUUUUAUUUCUCUUUCUCUUAUAGUAUUGCAAAGCUACUUCAAGGAUCCUAAAGAAGUCGGAGAUCGUCCACACUAUCAACUACAACUGCUCGGUAUUUUAUAUCGAAACACGUUUGAGUUAUGGCAUGUAUAGGGAUUUAGUUAUUUUGUAUGUUUGUAAUGAUGAUUUUGCUAAUGAGUGAUGUGUAAGUAUUUGAUGAUGUAUGGUCAUUAAAAUGGUUAAGGAUGAAGGUGUUUGUUGUUAUGAAAGAUUAGGUGAUAAAUUAUGCAUGGAAAUCAUGAAAGGAUUAAAUUUUGCAAAGAAACAGAAUUCAGGCAGCACAGUGACGUGAAUUUGAAAAAUCACCCAAGAUAGUAUAAAAUGAAUUAGAGGGUUAAUGAUAUAUGGAAUUAAAUCUUGUUGAGUCUAUUUUCAUGGAAAAAUAACGGUGUAGAAAAAGGAAAUUUAUAUUUUAAGAUAUGUGAAUUUUAGUAAGAUAGGGUCAGAACUGUUUUUGGAGUCCCCUGUUCUGAGUUUAGAAAAUAAUUACAAAUUGUAAAAAAAUGGUUAUGAGUUGAAAUUUACAUGCUUAGAUUCCUUAAUGAGUCUAUUUUCUGUAGAAACAAGUAAGAACUUCAUAUGAAAAUCUUACAGUGAGAAAACUUAUUUUUAGUAACAAGAGGUCAGAAUAGUCAAAUGGUGAAACAGGGGAGACUUUAACUAAUAAAAUGUACUAAUUGGCUAAACCAAAAAUUCUAAAAAUUUUAUGGUGAGUAGAUAUAUGAGUCUAGUUUCAGCGAAAAUUUACGGAAUUAAAUUUAGAGUUCUGUAUCUCAAGUUAUAAUUAAUUUAGCAACUGCUGCGCGAUUGGACAGAUUUGCUGUAAAUAGUGAAAUAAAUUUUCAAACCUAGUUUUUAUGCUCCGAAUUGGUAAGAUAAGCUAAGUAAUGCCUCGUGCUCGACUCCGGAAACGGUCUCGGGUAAGGGGUGUUACAUUUUGUUGGUAUCAGAGCAGGUUUAGUCGGUUCUUGGAAAUACUCGGUAUGAAUAAGUGUCUACGUAUACAUGCCAUACUUAUAUAUUUUGAUAGUGUGACGACUCCUGACGAUUUUAAAAUGUUUUCUUUUAUCGUUAUGGAUCCUGAACGAGCUAGUACAGAUGAAGUAGAAAGUAAUGCGC